UUCACCAGGAACUACUCAAAGGCUUCAUAUCAAGCGAAAGGCCGUAUUUUUCUGACGCAGAAAUAACGCAACCAGCGACCUGGAUCAAUCUCAUUACCAGUGUUCCUGCAAACUGAUGGCUGAGAGAGCAGGAAGGAGAGUGCCUUUGAAUACAACAGCUGUGCCCUCCUCAGACAAAGAUCUCAUUAAGGCCUGCUGCUGCCACCGCUGCUGUUUUCACUCCAUAAUGGAGCUCUUCCACCAGCAUCAUUGUUUCAUUUGUUCUGGGACUUCUCGUAAAACCACCCCAAAGCCCCACAAAACGCUGACGCGGCCAAUCGACCUGGGUGGCCGACGGCAAAACGCUGAGUCAGCCUGGACUGCACCAUCCUCCCCAGCAGAGAUGCUCGGAGUUGAGCCUCAUCUAUAAUGAAACGUUCCCUCAGCCGAGAACCACAGCCGGGGCUCAUAGUGAAGCCUCUAAAGAGUAUCUCAUCGCCUCUGCAGUAUUCAGGCUCCAGAAAACCUGUGGCAUGGCUAAGCUUCGCCAUCAGUCCGAUGUCAAUGAAGGCCCCAGCGAGAGACAGAUGGUGUGAUGCCAUAUAUCAGAGCAGCAAUCUGCACUCCCAUCAAACAUUUACACAUUUCACCUCCCUUUCUGCAGAGAACACACAGACAUUUAAUGUGCAACGUUUUGUGGGGACUUUACAUAGACAAUGACUUUUGUUCUGACCAAACUGUAACUCGUCCUCUCAUGAAACCUUUUUGCAUUUAUAAAUAAGCAUUAUUUAAUAUGUUUAAUAAAAAUGUGUAUGUUAAAUAACAAUAAUUGAUUGGUGGAUACAUUACGGGAACACAAUGAUAGAUUAACCUCUACACAUACUGUACACACAUAUGCUGGCACUACCCUUGUAAAGUGCACUGUUUAUUCCAGUCCUGUUCUCUCUAAGCUCUGAGGAUUC